GUCCCAGUUCGGAUUGUAGUCUGCAACCCGACUACAUGAAGCUGGAAUCGCUAGUAAUCGCGAAUCAGCAUGUCGCGGUGAAUACGUUCCCGGGUCUUGUACACACCGCCCGUCACACCAUGGGAGUUGGUAACGCCCGAAGUCAGUGACCUAACCGCAAGGGAGGAGCUGCCGAAGGUGGGGCCAGUAACUGGGGUGAAGUCGUAACAAGGUACC
rnacentral:rRNA from 1 species